ensembl:lncRNA
GAAAACGCAUUCAUAGUGUGAUCCAUAAAUGCAUCAUCUGUCAGAAACUCAGAGGAAGAAUUGUUGAACAGAAAAUGGCAGAUCUUCCUCCUGAUCGACUAGCUACUGAUCCACCUUUCACUUAUGUCGGCCUUGACGUCUUUGGGCCCUGGAUGGUCGCCUCUCGCCGUACUCGAGGUGGCUUGGCAAACAGCAAAAGAUGGGUACUCAUUUUUACCUGUUUGAGUAUUCGAGCAGUGCACUUUGAGCUGAUUGAUUCUCUUGAUGCAUCUACCUUUAUCAACGCCCUCCGCCGCUUCUUUGCCAUAAGGGGUCCAGCAAAACAAAUCAGAUCAGACUGUGGCACAAAUUUCAAGGGUGCUUGUAAGGAGCUGGGAAUGCUUGCAGAGGAGCUUAGUUUUAGGAGCUACUUGAAUGAGGAAGGAUGUCGUUGGAUCUUUAAUCCCCCUCAUGCAUCCCAUAUGGGAGGAGCUUGGGAGCGACUUAUCGGAGUUCCACGUCGCAUAUUAGACUCCAUGCUGCUUCAAAACAGUCACUCUCAUCUCACUCAUGAAAUGCUGGCUACAUUCUUGGCAGAAGUUUCUGCAAUUAUGAACUCAAGACCUCUCGCACCGAUCUCAAGUGACCCAAAUUCACCCGCCCUGUUGACUCCAGCCACUCUUUUGACUCAGAAAGUUGGUGUCUUGUCUCCUCCUCCAGGGGACUUUGAAAAGGAUUUUUGCCGCCAGAAAUGGAAGCAAGUUCAACAACUUGCCAGCACCUUCUGGGAAAGGUGGCGACGUGAGUACCUAGUCAAUCUUCAAAGUCGCCGCAAAUGGCACACGAACCAGCCUAACAUCAGGGAAGGAGAUAUUGUACUUAUGAAGGAGGCUCAAGUUAAGAGAAAUGACUGGCCGAUGGCUCUAGUCACUAAGGUCUUCCCAGGCGAAGAUGAAAAGGUCAGGAAAAUUGAAAUCAAGGUCACCAAGGAUGGGAAGUGUAAAACUUAUCUGAGACCUGUAUCCCAAGUGAUUCUUCUUCUGUCAUCAGAAGGACAGAAUGAAUAAUGUUCUACAGAACAGUUGCAUUGUUAGUAGUGGUAUUUCUAAAAUACCAGACGGGGAGUGUUCUGACUAUUUAUGUAGUCAUUUAAUUUUGGUUUUAUUUAAUUGGUUAAGAUGCAUCAUGUGACUUAGGUUAGAGGUCGUGGUGGCCAUUUUAGUUUUCACUUCUCCACAGCAGUGAUGCUGCAGCAGAUGUCUCUCUGAUAAAGAUAUAUUCUUCUGUUAUUUCAUGCUAAAGAGGCCAUCGUCUUUUCACAAAAAUGUACGUUGUGGGAAAGAAGAUUUCUAAGUAAAACACCGAAAAAGAACCUUUUUUGGUUUCGACUUUUUCUUCAACCCUCAUCCUGUUUAACUAUCUGUUGAGGUGCAACAUACUUGCAUCAGGGACAGAAUAAUUAUAUUAUACGUAUCUGCACUUUAACUCAAGUACUUGAUUUGUGUACUUCGUCCACCACUGCACAGAGGAGAAACAAUAAUGUACAGCAUGUGGAAAAUAAUGAUUUUUGAACCUUAAACUACAUAAACACACCCC